GAUUAUGGUGAGCUGGGCACAGGCAGCUAUGCUGGCCGUUUUUGAUGUGGCGGUAGUUCCUAACCUUGUCCAGUUCACCACCCAU
rnacentral:antisense_RNA from 1 species